rnacentral:rRNA from 1 species
GUCGAGCGACAGAUAAGGAGCUUGCUCCUUUGACGUUAGCGGCGGACGGGUGAGUAACACGUGGGUAACCUACCUAUAAGACUGGAAUAACUCCGGGAAACCGGGGCUAAUGCCGGAUAACAUUUAGAACCGCAUGGUUCUAAAGUGAAAGAUGGUUUUGCUAUCACUUAUAGAUGGACCCGCGCCGUAUUAGCUAGUUGGUAAGGUAAUGGCUUACCAAGGCAACGAUACGUAGCCGACCUGAGAGGGUGAUCGGCCACACUGGAACUGAGACACGGUCCAGACUCCUACGGGAGGCAGCAGUAGGGAAUCUUCCGCAAUGGGCGAAAGCCUGACGGAGCAACGCCGCGUGAGUGAUGAAGGGUUUCGGCUCGUAAAACUCUGUUAUUAGGGAAGAACAAACGUGUAAGUAACUGUGCACGUCUUGACGGUACCUAAUCAGAAAGCCACGGCUAACUACGUGCCAGCAGCCGCGGUAAUACGUAGGUGGCAAGCGUUAUCCGGAAUUAUUGGGCGUAAAGCGCGCGUAGGCGGUUUCUUAAGUCUGAUGUGAAAGCCCACGGCUCAACCGUGGAGGGUCAUUGGAAA